rnacentral:rRNA from 1 species
GACAGAGGCCUCAAGCGUUAGGCGGAACCACUGGGCUUAAAGCGUGUGUAGGCGGAUCGUUAAGUGUCUUGUGAAAUCCCACGGCUCACCCGUGGAACUGCUGGGCAUACUGGCGAUCUUGGGCCAACUAGGGGCAACUGGAACAAGCGGUGGAGCGGUGAAAUGCGUAGAUAUCGCUUGGAACGCCAAAGGUGAAAACAGGUUGCUGGGGUUGUGCCGACGCUGAGACACGAAAGCCAGGGGAGCAAACGGG